GAUGUGAAGAGGUUGGCUGUCCAGAAGGUUGAAGCCAGAAGCCCAUGGAAAGUCUAUUUCUAAAUACUUAUCAACUCUUUCCUGGUGGGUGACAGAUCUGACAACCCACUUGGAAUGUGUCACGACUGUCCCUGACUCGGCAGGACGUGACCCUCUUCUCAUCUUUCAAAGUUUCAGGGGCACCAUUUGGCAGUGGCUUCUCCAACCGCCCGCUACUCUCCAGCUAGGGAAGGGACCAGUGGGACUGAACAAACACUUGUGACGGGAGGGAGCCUGAGCUCCUAGGGACUGGCACAAGCCCAGGAUGGCCACCAGUGUGAGUGCCAGGAAAAGCUAACUGAGAUAAGGCCGGAGACUAGAUAAGGACAGUCUGUACAGAACGUGAGCCCUGGCGCACCGCUGCCCUUCCUCCUGACACGCAGAGCAAAGAAUCCUGUGCUUGGGUCUUGGUUUCAGAAAAGCUGCCUGCCUUCGUGCAACGUCACAGCUGUAGUUCGUCUCCAGGACAAGGACCCGGCUCCCAUCACUAUGCGGCUCUGGUGGAGACUGCCAGUUCAUGCCCCCAAGUCCAAGGUCCUGGAAUCCUGGAGACACUGACUCUGCCUCUGCCCAAGGUUCAUAGCUCAGCUCAGCUCCACUUGAAGCUCGGCCAAAGGAACACUUGUUCUUACCAGUGGCUUUCACUGCAUCUCUACUCUGUGCCUCUGCCCUGGGCUCGGCACAUUCUCUUCCUUUGGCAAAAACUCCGAAGAAGUCUACCCACCUCACAAGGCUCAGCAGCAAAGCUUCCUCCUCCCGGAAGCUGCAUUUUGUUUUUCUUGGGGCGGGAUGGUAAGAACUUCUUUGUUCCCCACGAGGAGAAGGCAAGCUUCCCCAGAGCAGGCUGCACCGGCUUAUCCGCAGCAUCUGUAAUAGCACUGUUAGCGCCAGCCUCCUCGGGGGCUCAGAGAACAUCUGAAGAACAGAGUGCAGAGUGAAGCCAGGGCGCCAUAGGAAAAAACCAGAAACAAAUGUCAAACAGCCUUGAAUUGUGCAUGGCUCGUGGAUGAUCUGCUGGGUAUGCUGGAACUCAUAAAGUUGGCUAGGCUGUUUACAGCUUGUGGGAACAAGCAUUUGAGCUCCUUUUGAAUAUACAAAUGUAGGGUCUGCCAACAGGAGUCCCUCCUGGGCUUGUGUUUGGGGGAGAUGGGAAGCUGAGAGGUAUGGAGUUGGUACUGAUAAAGAUUGCUGUCUUCUCUCAGGA